rnacentral:misc_RNA from 1 species
AAGUCGUAACAAGGUUUCGUAGGUGAACUUGCGGAAGGAUCGUUAACACGUUCUUGUAAAUCAUAGCCCGGAAAGUAGUUUUGCUUCAGAGACCUGUGCGAAAAUUGGAACAGUUACAAUUCGAGCGGUAGUUCUAUAGGCCUUGUUUCCCCAAGCAGUCAGUGUCUGAAAGUGUCAGUGAUUGUGCGAGGAUAACGCUUCACGAUUAUUGUAGACCGCAUCUCGCGGGCAGGAGCUAGGCCAAAGGGUCCCAAUGCCCCCUUACAACCCCACAGUUAAAUGUGAAGCUCAAUACAAUACAUUGGGUAAAAAACCGAACAACUGUUAACAAUGGAUAUCUUGGUUCUC